UGGGGAAUUUUGGACCAUGGACGCAAGUCUGAUCCAGCCAUGCCGCGUGCGGGAAGAAGGCCUUCGGGUUGUAAACCGCUUUUGUCAGGGAAGAAACGAGCUUCUCUAAUACAGAGACUUAAUGACGGUACCUGAAGAAUAAGCACCGGCUAACUACGUGCCAGCAGCCGCGGUAAUACGUAGGGUGCGAGCGUUAAGCGGAAUUACUGGGCGUAAAGCGUGCGCAGGCGGUUAUGCGAGACAGAUGUGAAAUCCCCGGGCUCAACCUGGGAACUGCCUUUGAGACUGCAUAGCUAGAGUACGGUAGAGGGGGAUGGAAUUCCGCGUGUAGCAGUGAAAUGCGUAGAUAUGAGGAGGAACACCGAUGGCGAAGGCAAUCCCCUGGACCUGUACUGACGCUCAUGCACGAAAGCGUGGGGAGCAAACA
rnacentral:rRNA from 1 species